rnacentral:rRNA from 1 species
CCUACGGGAGGCAGCAGUGAGGAAUAUUGGUCAAUGGACGAGAGUCUGAACCAGCCAAGUAGCGUGAAGGCUGACUGCCCCAUGGGUUGUAAACUUCUUUUAUAAAGGAAUAAAACGAGGCACGUGUGCCUUUUUGCAUGUACUUUAUGAAUAAGGAUCGGCUAACUCCGUGCCAGCAGCCGCGGUAAUACGGCGGAUCCGAGCGUUCUCCGGAUUUAUUGGGUUUAAAGGGAGCGUAGUUGGUUUGUUAAGUUAGUUGUGAAAGUUUGCGGAUCAACCGUAGAAUGGCAAGUGAUACUGGCAGUCUUGAGUACAGUGGAGGUAGGCGGAAUUCGUGGUGUAGCGGUGAAAUGCUUAGAUAUCACGAAGAACCCCGAUUGCGAAGGCAGCUUACUAA